rnacentral:tRNA from 1 species
GCCCACUUAGCUCAACUGGUAGAGCAAUGGUAUCGUAAACCAUAGGUUGUCGGUUCAAUUCCGACAGUGGGCU